GAUAGAUUACAUGACAACAUUCAAUUAUUUCAAGUGUCCACUACAACUUGAUAAAACCAAAGUCACUAAUCAUUUUACAAACCACCAUAAGAACAAUUUGAUGAACUUAAAGCUUAAUAGACUACUUUUGCCCCUUUUCAUUUAUGAUUUUCAAUAUGAUUGAUUUUGUCUACAAUCCACUUUAAUAUUUAUUGCAAUUCUAACUACGGUAAGCUCAACAAUCCUUUCUUGCGUCUUCUCAUAAAUCAUCAAGGAAAUUGCUUCAAGUCAUGUGAAUCCAAAGAAAAAACUAAAGAAAUUGUUUCUUCUCAUAAAUCGUUUGGCAUUCUCUUAAUCAAAGAAAUUGAUUUUCAGAGGUAAGCUUUUCUAUCAAUUAAGAUUCAUGUGUUAUUGAAUUUUAUGUGUUUCUUUUCUUCCUCUGAUUCAAAAUUUUGAUUCGCUUCUUGGAUUCAUCAUUUCGAUCCGACACUUGUGUUUUGAUCUUGCGCUUCGAUACAACGCUUCGGUCUGACGUUUUGAUUCAGAGCUUCGUUUCGACAUUUCAAUUCGUCGCAUAGAUUUUGCUUUUCCCGUUUCAUGUGAUUUUUAAUAAAAAUGAUUUUAGGCCAUUCUUUUCUUUUGAUGAAUAAUCUUAACUUAUUUUUGAUUCAGGUGACACUUGUGAUAUAUCAGGUUGUUUCUGGCUCAUGGGUUAGUGGUAUUACAGGUUCAAUUGCUUACAAUUGCUCUAGUCUAACAUGAAAACCAGUGAAAAAAUCAUUCUUUAUAGCUUAUUAGUAUGGUUGAAUAUAACUUAGUCGUUAUCGAAUUUUAUUUAUUCCAGAAGAAAAAAAAUAUCGAUGAAAUCCUUAAAAGAAAAGAGAAUGAUCGUUGCAACAAAAUCAUGAUUUAAGAAUCGAUUAUCUAAGGAGAAGAUAUUUAGUACCUUUUACGUCCGUUGUACUCAAUUGAAACAUUUUAGUUAGAUUUGUAAUUAGAAUGUUAACUAAUGUUAUUUAUUUUAAUUUUUGGAUGAUAAAAAGUGCAAAAAGGAAGAGAAAAUGGUCACUAAAAGAUUUUUAUUAGGGUGCUUGGCGAGAUUAUGAGUCUCAUUCCUACGUAUCCUCAAGUACAAUGAGGAAUUCAAAACUACAAAAUUCUUUAUAGCAAAUGUUUGUUGGUUGGUUGAUUUUGUUGAACGGUAAAACGCUGCUCGUAGAUCUAGACUUACGACGUUUGUUUGUAUGAUAUUAGAACAAAUUAAACAACAUUCUUUUAAAAGUGGUUCUCGAUUGCACAACGUCACAAAAAUAAGUUUGAUGUGUUGAAUAUUUUUAGGAGAAUGAAGAAUAUUCGGCAGGACCAAAACGUUUGUCUCGGGGCUGAUUAUUCGGAGUUUUCAGAGAAUGCGAGACUCUAAUGUUCAUUUUUCAUUCAAAGUAUUUAUGAAUUUUGGUUGCGGAGAAUAAAGUUCGAUAAGACCAAGACGUGUGCGUCAAGGCCGAUUGUUCAGGGUUUUCAUAAAAUGUGAGACUCCAAUGUUCCUCUUCUUUCGAUUUUAUUGUAAAAAAAAAUUUAUUGUUAUAUUAAUCAGAAAAAGAUUUGAUUCAAAUCGAUAUAUGAUUAUUCGAGGGAAACAAGUUUUUGGAAAUUACCGCAGAAAAACAAACCUUUUUUUUUCUCUUUUUUUGUUUUGAACCCCAUCUUAUAUUCAUGAUGUAAAAGUCAAAACAAGUGUAUGAAUUUCUACUUAAUUCUAUUUAUACCAAAA